rnacentral:lncRNA from 1 species
GAAGAGACACCGAAGGGACACCAAAGGACACAUGGAAGGGACACCCAAGGGACUCCCAAGGGACUCCCAAAAGACAGGGAAGAGACACCAAAGGGACAUGUAAGAGACACCAAAGGACACCAAAGGACACGUGGAAGGGACACCCAAGGGACAUGGGAGGUACACCUGUACAGGGAUAAGCUUCCUCCCCUUUGGGGAGAACCUUCGGUGUCAAACGGGUGGCACUGGAGGAUACCCUCCUGUACAUGUACCACCUUGCCACCGGAGGAUACCCUCCUGUACAUGUACCACCUUGCCACCGGAGGAUACCCUCCUGUACAUGUACCACCUUGCCACCGGAGGAUACCCUCCUGUACAUGUACCACCUU